rnacentral:rRNA from 1 species
AACGAACGCUGGCGGCAUGCCUAAUACAUGCAAGUCGAACGAACACUUCGGUGUUAGUGGCGCACGGGUGCGUAACGCGUGGGAAUCUACCCCUUGGUUCGGAAUAACAGUUAGAAAUGACUGCUAAUACCGGAUGAUGACGAGAGUCCAAAGAUUUAUCGCCAAGGGAUGAGCCCGCGUAGGAUUAGCUAGUUGGUGAG